UUUCAUUUUUUUCUUUUAUGUUCAUUUUAUAUUCUUAAAUUGAUCAUUGUUCGUUAGCUAUGUUUUUUUACCUUGUUGGUCGUUGUAGUAUAGGUUAGUCUAGUUUUAACUUUGGGUCAGUUGUCUUGGGUAAUUUUGCUCUAUUUUCUGAUUGUUUCCAUUAUAGGUGCUUAGAUUUUGAUUUCUUAAUUUUGUUCUUUAGUUUUUACAUGUUACUCCCUUCACCAUUUACUAUAGCUAUUUCAAUUACUCGUUCUACAUUUCAUUUUUACAUGUUGCUCUCCAUUGAUAAGAAUAAUGUCUUUAAGUUCCAUUAUCAUACAUGAUUUUUUUUCCUGAGCAUCUAUAUCUUCUAUACAGUUUCUGUUUUCAUCACAUUAUCUUGCAUUCAUUUAGAUUUAGUAGAUUUAUGCAUUAUUAGUUAGUUAGUAUUACAUUAGAUUUCAUUUUAUAUUUUUUCCCCACC
rnacentral:lncRNA from 1 species